CUUCUCUGAUGUUAGCGGCGGACGGGUGAGUAACACGUGGAUAACCUACCUAUAAGACUGGGAUAACUUCGGGAAACCGGAGCUAAUACCGGAUAAUAUUUUGAACCGCAUGGUUCAAAAGUGAAAGACGGUCUUGCUGUCACUUAUAGAUGGAUCCGCGCUGCAUUAGCUAGUUGGUAAGGUAACGGCUUACCAAGGCAACGAUGCAUAGCCGACCUGAGAGGGUGAUCGGCCACACUGGAACUGAGACACGGUCCAGACUCCUACGGGAGGCAGCAGUAGGGAAUCUUCCGCAAUGGGCGAAAGCCUGACGGAGCAACGCCGCGUGAGUGGAUGAAGGUCUUCGGAUCGUAAAACUCUGUUAUUAGGGAAGAACAUAUGUGUAAGUAACUGUGCACAUCUUGACGGUACCUAAUCAGAAAGCCACGGCUAACUACGUGCCAGCAGCCGCGGUAAUACGUAGGUGGCAAGCGUUAUCCGGAAUUAUUGGGCGUAAAGCGCGCGUAGGCGGUUUUUUAAGUCUGAUGUGAAAGCCCACGGCUCAACCGUGGAGGGUCAUUGGAAACUGGAAAACUUGAGUGCAGAAGAGGAAAGUGGAAUUCCAUGUGUAGCGGUGAAAUGCGCAGAGAUAUGGAGGAACACCAGUGGCGAAGGCGACUUUCUGGUCUGUAACUGACGCUGAUGUGCGAAAGCGUGGGGAUCAAACAGGAUUAGAUACCCUGGUAGUCCACGCCGUAAACGAUGAGUGCUAAGUGUUAGGGGGUUUCCGCCCCUUAGUGCUGCAGCUAACGCAUUAAGCACUCCGCCUGGGGAGUACGACCGCAAGGUUGAAACUCAAAGGAAUUGACGGGGACCCGCACAAGCUGGUGGAGCAUGUGGUUUAAUUCGAAGCAACGCGAAGAACCUUACCAAAUCUUGACAUCCUUUGACAACUCUAGAGAUAGAGCCUUCCCCUCCGGGGGACAAAGUGACAGGUGGUGCAUGGUUGUCGUCAGCUCGUGUCGUGAGAUGGUGGGUUAAGUCCCGCAACGAGCGCAACCCUUAAGCUUAGUUGCCAUCAUUAAGUUGGGCACUCUAAGUUGACUGCCGGUGACAAACCGGAGGAAGGUGGGGAUGACGUCAAAUCAUCAUGCCCCUUAUGAUUUGGGCUACACACGUGCUACAAUGGACAAUACAAAGGGCAGCGAAACCGCGAGGUCAAGCAAAUCCCAUAAAGUUGUUCUCAGUUCGGAUUGUAGUCUGCAACUCGACUACAUGAAGCUGGAAUCGCUAGUAAUCGUAGAUCAGCAUGCUACGGUGAAUACGUUCCCGGGUCUUGUACACACCGCCCGUCACACCACGAGAGUUUGUAACACCCGAAGCCGGUGGAGUAACCUUUUAGGAGCUAGC
rnacentral:rRNA from 1 species